GGUAGGAUACUCAAGCGGUCAACGAGGGCAGACUGUAAAUCUGCUGGCUUUAUGCCUUCGAAGGUUCGAAUCCUUCUCCUACCACCA
rnacentral:tRNA from 1 species